CACGUAGGACGCAAGCGUUGUUCGGAAUUAUUGGGCGUAAAGCGCACGUAGGCGGCUCUUUAAGUCUCACUGUGAAAGCCUGCGGCUCAACCGCAGGAGGCCAGGGGAUACUGGAGAGCUGGAGACAGGUAGAGGCGAGCGGAAUUCCGGGUGUAGCGGUGGAAUGCGUAGAGAUCCGGAAGAACACCAGAGGCGAAGGCGGCUCGCUGGACCUGUUCUGACGCUGAGGUGCGAAAGCGUGGGGAGCGAACAGG
rnacentral:misc_RNA from 1 species